UGAUUACGGACAGACCUUAAAUAAUUUGCUGUUGUUCUUUGGGUUUACAUUAGGUGCAAAGAAGUAAACCUCUCUGCACUUUCUGUCUUUGUGGCAGCCCAGAUUGAAUAAGGGCAUAUAUUU
ensembl:snoRNA